rnacentral:misc_RNA from 1 species
UUUCCGUAGGUGAACCUGCGGAAGGAUCAUUAUUGUAUAACCGAGGUGCGAGGGCUGUCGCUGACCCGAAAGGUCGUGCACGCCCGAGUGCCCUCACACACAUCCAUCUCACCCCUAUGUGCACCACCGCGUGGGUCCCCCUUUGGCUUGUUCGGAGGGGGGCUUACGUUUUCACACAAACUUUGUAUGCAGUGUAGAAUGUAUUUUUUGUUUUUGCGAUCACGCAAUCAAUACAACUUUCAACAACGGAUCUCUUGGCUCUCGCAUCGAUGAAGAACACAGC